UCGUCAGGUGGGAUAAUCCUUACCUAUUCCUCCUUUGGAGAACAGAUAAAAUAUGAUAAUUGGAGAUGCAUGAAAUGUUUAAAAUUUAAUUAGAAGAAAAAAAAAAGCCGGGCAUGGUGGCUCAAGCCUGUA